rnacentral:rRNA from 1 species
UACGGGGGGAGCAAGCGUUGUUCGGAUUUACUGGGCGUAAAGGGCGCGUAGGCGGUCGUGACAAGUCACUUGUGAAAUCUCCGGGCUUAACUCGGAACGGUCAAGUGAUACUGUCGGACUAGAGUACAGAAGGGGCAACUGGAAUUCUCGGUGUAGCGGUGAAAUGCGUAGAUAUCGGGAGGAACACCGGUGGCGAAGGCGGUUCUCUGGGCCUUACCUGACGCUGAGGAGCGAAAGCGUGGG